UCUUAUUUUCCAUUGAACAAUUUCAUGUGAGCCUUUAUCCAAAAUCUUUAGGAAAUCCAGUUUAUCUUUAUCUUGAUGUAAGUUUAGAACGUGUUUAUCUUGAUAUUUCUUGUUUUUUUCCACUAUUCUGUGAAGAGGGCCUGAUGAGGAAAUUAAUGGCCUGGCUUUCUACUUUCCAAAAUUUAAGCUGAUGAGACCUCUAAUGUGUAGGUUAUGUGGGUGUGUAUCUGAUAUUUCUUCUUCUUUUCCACUCCUCUAUGUAGAGGGCCUGAUAGAGGAAAUUAAUUGUUUUCUAAAGGUAGCUCGUGCAAUAAGCCCUUGCUUAGAGUUCGAGAAAAGGUUAGACAACAAAUGUUUAUCAUAUGUAAUUCUGUAUUUCUGUAAAAUAUUAUUUCUAGAGCUCGAACCUAUAAUAUCCUGAUAACAUAGUAGUAACUUUUCCGAUGACAAGAAUGAGAGACAAAUCGUUUUCACCUUUCCUUCAGUUGCAACAUAUUGCGAAAUGGAGAAA
rnacentral:lncRNA from 1 species